rnacentral:rRNA from 1 species
AUUGAACGCUGGCGGCAGGCCUAACACAUGCAAGUCGAGCGGAUGAAGGGAGCUUGCUCCUGGAUUCAGCGGCGGACGGGUGAGUAAUGCCUAGGAAUCUGCCUGGUAGUGGGGGAUAACGUCCGGAAACGGGCGCUAAUACCGCAUACGUCCUGAGGGAGAAAGUGGGGGAUCUUCGGACCUCACGCUAUCAGAUGAGCCUAGGUCGCAUUAGCUAGUUGGUGGGGUAAAGGCCUACCAAGGCGACGAUCCGUAACUGGUCUGAGAGGAUGAUCAGUCACACUGGAACUGAGACACGGUCCAGACUCCUACGGGAGGCAGCAGUAGGGAAUAUUCGACAAUGGGCGAAAGCCUGAUCCAGCCAUGCCGCGUGUGUGAAGAAGGUCUUCGGAUUGUAAAGCACUGUAAGUUGGGAAGAAGGGCAGUAAGUUAAUACCUUGCUGUUUUGACGUUACCAACAGAGUAAGCACCGGCUAACUUCGUG